rnacentral:rRNA from 1 species
UUCCUGGCAGAGGCCACUGCUAUCGGGGUUCGAUUAAGCCAUGCGAGUCGAGAGGUGCAAGACCUCGGCGCACUGCUCAGUAACACGUGGAUAACCUACCCUCAGGAGGGGGAUAACCCCGGGAAACUGGGGAUAAUACCCCAUAGAUCAGGGACGCUGGAAUGCCCCCUGAUUCAAAGGUCCGCCGCCUGAGGAUGGGUCUGCGGCCGAUUAGGUUGUUGUUGGGGUAACGGCCCAACAAGCCAUUGAUCGGUACGGGUUGUGAGAGCAAGAGCCCGGAGAUGGAUUCUGAGACACGAAUCCAGGCCCUACGGGGCGCAGCAGGCGCGAAAACUUUACAAUGCGAGAAAUCGUGAUAAGGGAACCCCGAGUGCCCGUAAAUUCGGGCUGUCCGCCAGUGUAAAUAACUGGUGAAGAAAGGGCCGGGCAAGACCGGUGCCAGCCGCCGCGGUAAUACCGGCGGCUCGAGUGGUGGCCACUAUUACUGGGCUUAAAGCGUCCGUAGCUGGAUUGUUAAGUCUCUUGGGAAAUCCACCGGCUCAACCGAUGGGCGUUCAGGAGAAACUGGCAAUCUAGGGACCGGGAGAGGUGAGAGGUACUCCAGGGGUAGGAGUGAAAUCCUGUAAUCCUUGGGGGACCACCUGUGGCGAAGGCGUCUCACUAGAACGGCUCCGACAGUGAGGGACGAAAGCUGGGGGAGCAAACCGGAUUAGAUACCCGGGUAGUCCCAGCUGUAAACGAUGCGCGUUAGGUGUAUCGGUGACCACGAGUCAUCGAGGUGCCGAAGGGAAACCGUGAAACGUGCCGCCU